rnacentral:lncRNA from 1 species
UGCUGUGUCUUUCUCUUCAUGAGAUAAGAGGAACAAAAGAAUGUAUGACAUUUUUUUUCAAAAUGAUAACAUUUUCGUAUUGAAAUAAUAACUUGUGCCGCCCCUCUCAACCAUCGAUUCAACCACAGCAACAACGAAAUGAAACAAGUUCCUACGCUUCUGAUGAAGUCUCUCCCACUUCGUUGUUCCAUGCCACAAGUUUCUCCCUCCAUCAUUCAACAAAUUGCUUCUAAUCAACCCAAACCCAAAUCCAAAG